rnacentral:misc_RNA from 1 species
GAUGAAGAACGCAGCGAAAUGCAAUACGUAAUGUGAAUUGCAGAAUUCAGUGAAUCAUCGAAUCUUUGAACGCACAUUGCGCCUGCCAGCACUCUGGCAGGCAUGCCUGUUCGAGCGUCAUUUCAACCAUCAAGCCCUAGGCUUGCGUUGGAGCCCUGCGGCUGCCGCAGGCCCCUAAAAGCAGUGGCGGGCUCGCUAUCACACCGAGUGCAGUAGAUUACUCUUCGCUCAGGGCGUGUGGCGGGUUCCAGCCGUGAAACCCCCUACUUCUCAAGGUUGACCUCGGAUCAGGUAGGAAUACCCGCUGAACUUAAGCAUAUCAAUAAGCGGAGGA